UACGAAGGGGGCUAGCGUUGCUCGGAAUCACUGGGCGUAAAGCGCACGUAGGCGGAUCUUUAAGUCAGGGGUGAAAGCCUGGAGCUCAACUCCAGAACUGCCUUUGAUACUGGGGAUCUCGAGUCCGGGAGAGGUGAGUGGAACUGCGAGUGUAGAGGUGAAAUUCGUAGAUAUUCGCAAGAACACCAGUGGCGAAGGCGGCUAACUGGCCCGGUACUGACGCUGAGGUGCGAAAGCGUGGGGAGCAAACAGG
rnacentral:rRNA from 1 species